AUGAUAAGCUCCACCCGGGAAAUUCAACGCUCAAACGUGAAAUUAUCACAAUGGAAACAUACAAAAGUGUGGUUUUUCUCCAGCAGGUGCCAUGAACAAAGCAAUGUGGACAACCACGAAAUAUCAAGUGGACCCUCUCGUGACAAUGUGGACUCCGAGGAUACAGGAAGACGCAGAGAUGACGUCUGUCUGGCCGAUGUUGAUGACCGCGUGGACGUCACACAGCUUUCGUUAUCACCCUUCUGGAGCCACAGAGCGGGUCAUUGUUGUACAUACGAGUACAUGAACACAGGUGAGGACUGAGGCCUGUUUGGAAUCUCGUUGCCUCGCCCCGUCCCGUCUGAGGUUUUGAUGCGUUUGUGUUGCUUGCCAGGUCUUUAUCUCCGUGUCACCUGAACCAAGACUCUGACCUGGGGCCAAACAGAGCCUACGCCGCCGCUGUCAACGGCAACUCUGCAAAAAACAACUGCUGAAGAACGUCUAGAGAAGACGUCUGCGUGUCAAUCCGGCCAUGUGUGCGCUGGGAGCCAUCGCUGGUCGUGGAUUAUCUUGUUCGCCGGUUACACGGCGGCGUUGCCAAGUGCGCGAGCCAUCUUUUGGCCAAGAUUUGAUGUUCGUGAUCCCGGCGAGCGGCCGGCGCUCUCACCUGCCGUUGGUUGAGGUGCUGCGAUCCUGGCACCGAGUGAACAACUCCACGCUGGAGGUUGGCCAGAGUGAGGUUUAAUGAGACCGAGGCCACACCAAAGGCUUCCGUCUUCUCUUCAGAGCACCUGUGCCACACUGUCCGUGCGAUGAGAGCGCGGAAGUUGCCCCACAACAGCCCCUCUUCCUGUAAUUACUCCAACAAUAGGGAGAUCAACAACAUUUGAGAUAUCUGAGGUUCAUGUGUGGGUUGCUGUUGAACGUGUGACGGCACCUUGCUGUUUUUAAACAACAACACGUAACUAUUUCCUAAAAGGCCACAAUACCAGGAACACUGGAUCUGUAACUAUGUGUGUUUUGGGCUGAAAACAACUGCUGAUUGAAAUGAGAUAUGUUAGAGGAGAUAUGUUAGAGGUGGAGAAUUCAUUGAAGAGGUGCUUGGUUGUUACCGCUUAGCAUAAGAACCCCCCUCUCCUCCCCUUCUCCUUCAAAGGAGUCCAGAGGAGGGUAGUUGGGUGCAAAACAAAAAAGGUCUGCCACUAGUGUCUGCCAGCAGUCCAUGCUUGAGCUGUCAAUAAAGUGGACUCUGGAAGGAGGAUGUUGUGUAGGGUAACUUAUGGGGUGAUACAGAAUAUUUUAGGCACUUAAAUGCUUUGGUUCCAAUCGGAAAACAUUCGCUCUGACAGUCUGACAGGUUCCUCAUUCGUGUCAAUGCUGCACGUCGAGAUGUGUCAUUGCAUCAGUAUAGGCACAGAGAAAAAAGUAAAUAAAAAUAAAAAUGUUGACGAGUGCAAGGGGGCAACAAGGGCACGCUAAAACGUAAAGGAGUGGAGAAGUGUCAAAUGAAUAUGUCCACACUCUGGGUGUACCCCUACAAAAGUGUAAAUCGUUGCUCGCUCCGAUUUAUUCGGACUUCCAGUCACCUAAAUGACAUGAAACCUCUCCAAAGACACGUCCGUGCGUAUAUGUUCAAGUGCUUUCAAAAGGGGGGAAACUGGUCCACCAAUCAAACGAUUUGUCCGGUAAGUAAAUUCUCCAUUAUUCAUUUAUUUGGAGGAUAAGAGGUCACAGAGAAAUCCAGCAUAGCGCAGUCCAAUAGCA
ensembl:lncRNA